UAAGCAAAAUAACAGUACAUUGUGGCCUUGAUUGUCAUCCUGUAUAUAGUUACAUACAAUUAUGCAUCUCUUGUCAGGUGGCUACACAAUAACAUUAGUAUCUGUAAAACUUGUUACAUUCAAGAUACAUAAAAAAAAAGGAGACCCAUACGAACUAGCCCCUACGACAAUCUCCACUACUAUUAAACAAUCCAACAAGAACUUUUUUAAGUGCACCCCGCAAUUACCCCCAGCACACCGGACGACUCAUUCACCACCGCACGAUUAGACCCACAAAUCUGAAUCUAACAGCCAUCAUUGAUCUAAUACCUCUACGGUGUGCAUGUAGCAAUUUCCGUUGGCUGACCGUGCUUCACCUGCAGGGAAUAUUCCACCUACGCGUGUGAUGUCCCUACAAUCACGCAAAUGUAAUCGCUAACUUCUCCGUGAUUGCAUCUCUUCUAGCCCCUGCCUCCCCGCACCUAUCGCCACCGCCCCUCGCUAAAAUAAAACCCACACGCCCGACGGCCGACGACGCACGACCCUCCUCCCUCGAGCAGCAGCAACGGAGCGGCGCGUAGGGGCUCAACCUAUGUCGACGGGCGGCGUGGUCCCUCUCCUCCAUCGAGUAGCGGCAGCGGCACGGGACGCAGCGGGCUCGGCCUUCGUCGGUGGCGGCAGGGUCCCUUUCCUCCCUCGACCAUCGGCGGCGGCACCGAAUGCAACAGGCGGCCAGGGAGACGGCGCUGCGUGCAAGGCGCGGCAACGAAGCUGAGGGAGCCGGCCCUUGUGGCACGGGGGCGCGACGGUUCCAUGGCGGCUGUGGGGUGGAGGGCGCGUGCGUGAAGGCGGCACAUUCCUUUGGCUUUCGGCAUGCCGCGGCAUUGACUUCCCUGCUGUCGUCGUGCUCCCUGAUGCCAGCUCCUCCUUCCUCCCGCCGCUGGACAUGCACAACACCAUCCCAUGCCCUCUGUCCGCUGGCCAGAGAAAGGCAUCAGUGAGAAAUAUGGAUGAUGCACGCGAACGGAUUGGCACUCCCAUCUCCACUGCACUGAAGGAGAUCAAGCCCAUUUCCAUCAGCAUCAACUAGAACCUCCCCUCGACCUGCAUCCUUGCCUUUCUUUUGUAUCUCCCCAAGGUAAGUUGGCAUGCUCCAUGUUCGUGCAUAAGGACGGUGAGAUGGAUAUGGGUUUGGUAUUACUGUUGUUGAUGAACUGCUCAUUUGCCAGACUGUCAAACCAGAUGAGCCUGAAAGGAACCAAGAGAAAUGACUAUUCAUUUGGCUUUGGUAUUACUAUUGUUGAUGAACUGCUCAUUUGCCAGACUGUCAAACCAGAUGAGCCUGAAAGGAACUAAGAGAAAUGACUAUUCAUUUACCAAUCUUGCCAUUCUCUGUAUUGUCAAUUUGCCAAUUCGACUGAUGCUUGAAUGUAUUAGUAGACAAAAUGACAUGUUUGUUGAUCAGCUAUGAUAUGUGUUUCCAUUGGCUACUUGCCGCUUUCUAAGGGGCAGAUUUUAGCUUGACAAGAUUUGUGCAAAAACAUAGCAGUGCUCUUGAUCUGAUGGAAACUCAGAGUAGGGUGUUCCAAACUAGAUUGAUACACGUAAGAAUUUUUGACUGAUUUUUAUGCUCAGAGCUACAUACAUGCUCGCAGCGCUUCACCUAUCCUAGAACUUUCAUUUCAAUUUUUGUGUCGCUACAAUUUGUCCAUUAAUCGAUAUUCUAGCUCCAUUAAUUGGUAUUCUAGCUGAAAGUUUCAAAGUUGUCAAUUGUUUUUGAAACUCGGUUCACAGAGUGGCUGGUCCUUUUUUGGGACAUAUUUGUUGUGUCUUUUCCCCAUUUUGUCUUGUAUUUUGUCAUACACAGUUCAAUUAGCUAAUUGUUAUUAUGCCAUAGGUAAAUUGUGCAACCUAUUGCCGCUCUGCCAUGGGUCACAUGGUCGUCCUUCAUACACCGCUUUACUAGGACUAACGCUGAAGUACAGAUGAUGGUGUAUAAAAUUUCAAAAGAAGUUGCCUCUUGUUUGGACACCCCGAAGCACGGGCUGGCAAGACUAAGAUUGGGCAAAGAGAGCUUCAGGAGGACCGUUUAUGACACCUCACUCGACGGUUUAUUCUUCAAGCAAGGAUGGAAGAAGUUCCUCACGAGACAUGACAUGAGAUUAGCA